UUUUUUUUUUUUUUUUUUUAAUUAUUUUUGGAUACAAGAGAGCAGCACUAUGAUAUGCAUAAUCUGUGUGCUCAAACUUGGGAUAUCUGCCCACCUUCCCAACAAUUCAAUUGAAGCUCAAAUUGUUUCUAUUUUACCUCGAAAUUAUGUAUGUUGUGCAAAUUGUUGGAUGGGAUUCCUCUCAAUGCUCUCAUGUAUUUUAGAGAUUGCAAGAAAGGUGUAUUAUAGAAUUAUUUAUGACUGAGUUUAGAAGACAUACUCCCUCCUAGUAUCUAUAAUAGAGUUUGAUGACAUUCUGUUUAUUUUAUGAACUAAACUUGUGGUGGCAAUAACCUCUUGAACUUGCUUACAGGCC
rnacentral:misc_RNA from 1 species